UACGGAGGGUGCAAGCGUCAUCCGGAUUCACUGGGUUUAAAGGGUGUGUAGGCGGGUAUUUAAGUCAGUGGUGAAAUCUCCAGGCUCAACCUGGAAACUGCCAUUGAUACUAUUUAUCUUGAAUCCUGUUGAGGUGGGCGGAAUAUAUCAUGUAGCGGUGAAAUGCAUAGAUAUGAUAUAGAACACCGAUUGCGAAGGCAGCUCACUAAACAGGCAUUGACGCUGAGGCACGAAAGCGUGGGGAUCAACAGG
rnacentral:rRNA from 1 species